UUAUCAACGUUUGGCUGAAAGUGGAGCCAGUGCUCGAUAGAUAGGGACACAGGGCAAGCCGUCGGCAAGGGCCAACGCUUAUGCUGAAGUUUGGAUAACAAAUGUUUUGAUUUGGAAAUAGCGGCAAUUGGACCAGAAUUUGGCCAAUUCCGGGUGUGGGUGUUUGGGGUUUCUGAAACAGGAUUUCUGAUUCUUAUUCUUACCAUGGCUGCGCACCUGUAAUCAACUUCAUGUUGCGGUGGCCGAAUAACCAGGGCGUUAUGGGAGACGAUCCACCUUAUUUAGUUGUAGGCACUGAAGUCAGUGCUAAAUACAAGGGUGCCUUUUGUGAAGCUAAAGUUCGCAAAGUGGUUCGAACUGUAAAAUGCAAGGUAAAUUUUAAAGUUGGGGGUUCAACUGUUGUAACUGAUGAUCAAAUACGAGGAAAUCUAAGGAUUGGAUCGGUUGUUGAAGUAAAACACCCUGAUAGAAAAGAGUUUGUUGAAGCAUCCAUUACUAAAAUCCAAGAUUGUAGCCAGUAUACUGUUGUUUUUGAUGAUGGUGACAUCACCACACUCCGACGUACUGCUCUGUGUCUAAAAAGUGGGAGACAUUUUGCUGAAAGUGAGACGCUUGAUCAGUUACCCUUGACUCAUCCAGAACACUUUGGAAAUCCUGUUGUUGGAAGCAGGAGAGGGGGAAGGAGGAGUCGAAAUCCAAUGAGUGAUGAAAGUAGUGAGGAAGAAGAAGAACCACCCAAAGGAAAAUCAAAAGAAGAAAAAGAGGCAGACAUUGGUAAAGUUGUAUGUGUGGAAUUAGGAGACAAAAAAAAGCAAAAGGACAAUUGGUUCCCCGGGCUUGUAGUUCAUCCAGCUGCCCAAGAAGUUGUACGCAUCAGAGUUAAAGAUGAAUAUUUGGUUCGAUCUUUUAAGGAUGGAAGAUAUUACACUGUUCCCAAAAAAGAAGCAACUGAAUUUACCCGAGAAAUAGGGUUAAAGGUUGACAACAACAUUUUAAAAUCAGCUGUUGAUAAGGCAUUGCAGUAUUUAGACAAGGAUGAACUGCCCCCUCAUUGGGACAGAGAACUGCUGUUUGGUUUAGAUGAUGCCUCCACAGCAUCAGACAGCGAUGCCGCUUUUGAUUCAGAUAGCUCUGAUGAUGAGCCAAGAGAAGAAAAGGAUCACUUUGUGGCCCAACUUUACAAGUUCAUGGAUGAUCGAGGCACGCCCAUCAAUCGGGGACCAUCCAUAACUGGACGAGAUGUUGACUUGUACAAAUUGUUCAAGGUUGUACACAAAAUUGGAGGCUGUAACAGGGUAACGAAUCAUAACCAAUGGAAAAUAGUCUCUCACAAGAUUGGCUUUGGCCAGUACUCAAAUACAGCCAACUUAGUCAAAGGGGCCUAUAAAAAGUACCUUCAUAGUUUUGAAGACUUCUACAGAAAGCUGGGUUGCACAAUGGUCAAUCACCCCCGCGGUAAUAGACCACGCCAUAAAGGUGGAAGGAGUUUAAUAAGGGACAAAGACAGGUCCACUCCUGUUAAUGUGCCUCGAGGGGACAACAAAGACAAGGGUUCUGACACUGUUGAUGAGGAUGAUGAUAUGUUGGAGAAAAGUGAAGAAGGUGCUGAGUUGAGUUUAGAUGAGAAAGAUGAGGAAAUAAGUAAACCUAAAGAAGUGAAAGAGCCAGAAGUUGUUGCGAAAAUGCCAACUGGACCUUCACCACCAGAACGUAAGCUGUUAGAUCCUCAGUUGAAAAUCAGCACUCCUAAAGGCAAGCCAAAAAAGAUGACAGAAGGUUCUUGUAGCAAGAAUGUGUUGGAUUCAAAGAAGAAAAUUGUUGUUACCAAAAUUAAGGGAGCAAGAGCAAUCGAUGAUGAUCAUGAUGAUGAAAUGGAAAUGCUAGAUGUUGAGGAUCUAGAUGAAGAGGAUGAGGAUAAGCUCACAACUACAAGGUCCAAGUCUAAGGACGAUUCCUCAAGGCUUAAAGUAGAAAAAAGUGUUGCUGAAGGGGAUAAAAAAGCGAGAUCAAUCGAAGGAAGUGAAAGGCGAAUAAAACCAUCUUUAACUGCUACAGCUGAAAAACGUUUGGGGCGUCCUUCACUUACAACUGUUAGUGACAAAAAAGCUAAAGGGAGUCAAGACAAUGAUCGCAAAACUGUACGAUCAUUAGCCGCAGAAUUUGAAAAGAAAUCUCGAGGAUUGGAAGUUGACAAGAAGGAAGCAUCUAGUUCCGAUAGUGACAAAAAACCCCGUUCUUAUUCUGUCAGUGACAGUGAAAAGAAGAUUCGCCCUUCGUUAACUGCCACAUUAGAAAGAAAAAAAUCAUCAGUUCUUGAAAUUGAUAAGAAAAGUCGUCAGAGUGGCACUGAUUCUGAAAAGAAAAUUCGCCCUUCUUUAUCGGUGGACCUGGAACGCAAAAAAGUGAGGCCAUCCCUCACUGCUGAUCCCAUGAAAAAAGUGUCUCGACUUGACAGUGACAGAAAAAAAGAAAAGUCCUCUCGAUCGUCAGAUGCAGAUAAUGAUAUGGAGAGGAAAUCAAAGUUGCAUGACUCUGAUCGGAAAAACAGUUCUUCUGAGUCUUCUAGACAUUCGUCUGGAGACUCUGAUAAGAGGGUUCCAAAAUCAGACUCAGGAGACUCUGAGAAAAGGGGAAACUCAAAAACAAAGAAGGGAGAUGAUGAUAAGAAGAAGCUACAAGCACGUAAACGGAAGGAUAAUGAUGAUCCAGCAGGUUCGACAGAUGAUAAUUUAGACUUGCUUCCAAAUUACAAGAAUGUUUGCAUUGGUGACAAACUCAAAGUUUACUAUGGACCUACACAUGAAUCAAAGGUUACAUAUGAGGCUAAAGUGCUCGAAGUGGAAGGGGGAGGUCAAGAGGAAUCGUAUCUUGUACAUUAUACAGGCUGGAACAAUCGUUAUGACGAAUGGAUCAAACGCUCAAGAAUAGCUGAUAACUUGAGUUGGUCUCCUGCUCGAGGCAAACGUCGUCACCAGGCUCAAGUUCCAGGAGCCAAGAAAUCAUCUGUUAAGGGGUCAAAGCGUAUCUUAACUCCAGCUCGAGAUGGAGCAUCUCCUUUCCAGAAGGACCAAAGCCAAGCAGCUCCAGCUUUCCCUGGUGUAGAUAAAUGUCGUGACUCUCAGCCGCCUCGUUGUUCUACACCCUCAUCUGUGACUUCUUCAUCCAGCCGAACUAAGUCCCCUGCCAUGAGACCAGGCUCUGCCCGAGUUACUCGUAACACCAUUGGGGACAUGUCACAAGUGGACCAGCCCACAAGACGAACAAGAACCAGACGCAUUAGUGGUCAAACAGAUGUACCAUCAGAAUCAGAAAGUGAUGCCAGUGAAUCGGAGAGUGAAGCUGAACCCUCAGUUACCAGGAAAAGUUCACGUCGUCUUGCUUUGGAAAAAGAAGAAGAAACUUCAAGGAAGGACAGUUCUACAAAGAAAAAACAACAGAAACGAGACACUGAGAUUGACCCUGAUGAAGAUGAGAAAGAUGGUGAUAAGGACGAUUUGAAGGAUGAUGUUAAGGAUGAAGAUGAAGCUUCUAGUGAAACACUCAGUGAAGGAAAGUUUCGUCUGAAUAGGCCUAGAAAGUCUAAAGGACGCAAAAGUGAUGUCAAGGUUGAAGUAGAAGAGGAUGAAGAAACAUCCUCAACACAGGUAACCAGAGGGAGAGACUUUGAUUUGAACCAAAUAAGAUCCGAGUUGAAAGGAAUAGAUAAAUCUGUUCGGGCAUCUUCUCCGACAAGUGAUGAAAAAGAUCAAAAGACUGACUCUGAUACAGAGCAAGACGCAGAUGUUGAUGUGGAUACCCCUAGUCUUGAAGAGAAACCAUGUUCACUAUUUGAAACUGAAGAUUCUGCCCUAGACACUGAAGAUAUUUAUGAGUUCAAAGAACCUGAACCAUUUGAAUUUGAAGUUAGAUCCAAGCGGGAAUCUUCUGUGGAGCGCACUGGUAAGCUGCAAAAACGGCCCCUUCCUCGUCUAUUCGACGAUAUUUCGGAGCCUGCUGUUAAAAGAAAGGCUGUGCGUGCCGCUGGUGCCGAAUCUGAAAGCUCUGAAGAAGGAUUAUCACCCUCAAAGAAAAGGGUGAGGCGACCUGUGAACAAAAAAGAUGAUUUGGAUGUCAAAGUAGAAGCUCAUUCUCCACCACCUGAUAUUAAUAUGGAGAAAAAUACUUCAACAGAACAGCUUACUCCACAGAAGAAAAUGUUUUCUCCAACUUCUGAGGAUGCUUUUGAAAAGUUACGUCAGUCUCCUAGCUACCGAUUUUCGGCUGGCAGCCCUAUUAGGGCGCGCACUCCAACUCCCUCCCGUUCGUCCCCAGUUCCGGUCCCAUUGCAAAGUCCACCAUCGUUAUCUAGCUCUUCUAGUGUGAUUUCUAGCUCUACUGUUGUCAAAACACCUACCUCCUCUGUCUUAAGCAUCGUUGGUCACACAUCUGCUACGGCCAAAGCAGCUCCUGUCUUAAAACAGGUCACAACUCCUCAAUCUCCUAAAGCCACUCCAACCUGCCCCUCAUCAUCCAUGAAGCCUUUACCACAAGAGAGCAAACUAUUAGGAAAAAUGAAACCACUCUUACCUCCUCCCCAAAAUGUGUCUGUGCCUUCCCAGCCCCCAGUACUGGCUGUCGCUGUUAAGGUACCCACUGAAAACCGUGUCAUUACCAAAACAGAAGAUUGGCUGAAGAAUAGGCAGCAAGCCCAAGAAAAAUCAGAAUCAAGUAAAACUGAACAAACUCCUGUCAAGCCAGAAAGAGAUGACAGUUUACCACCUUUGGUUCCAACAGCACUUAGUAUACCAGUGACGGGUAGAGUUUCACCUGAACCUCCCCAACUCCUGCCAAUGUCAGUUCCUGCACCCAAACUCAUUCAAGAGCCAUCUAAAUCUGCAACCAAAGAUGUGCAGAUGCCGAUGAUAAAAAAAGAAGGUGUGGCACUUUCUGAUAUUGUUGGUGUAAGCAGCCCUCGUCCUGUUCAACCUGUCACAACGGGACUCAAAUCUCCUGCUGGUGAAGACACACCUGAUGAUCUAUCUGAGGAUGACUCCCUAAAAAAGGCUGGUAGAAGAAAACCUUUACUUAAACGAAAGAAAGCUGUUAGUAAAGAGUUUGUUGAAGACUCUGACUCUGACAGUAGUAGUGAUGAAGAAACACGGUUAGUUAUUGAUAAGACGGAGUCAUCUAGUGACUCUUCUAAUGAAUCAGUUGAAACUAAAUUAACACCUCCUGUAAGAGAGUUUGAGUCAAAGUGGCGAGCAUUACCAAAGGUGGGAGAUUUGCCUAAAGACUCCUGCAAUGUGCAGCAAACUGUUAGUGUAACCAAGAAAGAAGAUACAUCUCGAUCCACGGCAGAAGAGCACCAGCCCUCUGGUGUAUUGGCAGUGGCUGAGGUAGUGGCCGAGUUGGAGGAAGAUGCUGAUGCAGAUGUUGAGACAGAAACUGAGACUGAGGCAGAGGCAGAUAUGGAAACAGAGGUCGAAGCAGACAUGGAAACAGAAGUAGUAACUGAAGAUAUAUCCCCUAUAGUAAAAACUGAAGAUGGGGAGGAACCUGAGGGAGACAACAAUUUGUGUUCUCUUCUCUGUGAAGAAACUAUUCCUGGUUCUCCUGCUCCCCUUUGCGAUACACCCAUAGAUGUUCACACUGAAGCUAGCUCUUCUAGAGCAUCUGAUCGACCUUCAGAAAACACGAAGACUUCUUGCAAGGUUUUAGAAAUGCCUUUUGCCAGUGUACCGGGAAACACCCGUUCGUCUGGACCCAGUACAUCAACGAAUUCAGCAUCAGUCCAGUUUGUGAAUACAUCUGCUGGAGAAAAGGCGGAGAACCUCUCCGACAUGAAUGCUUGUCCUUCAAAGGCAGCUCCGGAUGUAGGUCCCGGUGCUGCCUCUGAGCCCCCUGCUGCUGCUCCUUCUACAGAUGAAGCCACCCCUGUCAUUGACAACACUCCACCCACCACCCCAGACAGCAGCAUGUCUACUUUAUCUAACUCACCAAGAGGGGAGCAUGGAGAUACCCUUUCUAUAUUAGAUAAUGAUAGUAUGAAGUCUCUUAGAGACUCAGAGGAUGCUGAGAACAAAGACAACGAUUUUAGUGAUGAUGAUUUGGAUGUAGGAUCUCGCAUGAAAAAGCUUUCUGAAAAGAAAGAAAAUGAACGUAAAGGUAGAUGUGAUACUGAUUCGGUUUCUAUGAGCCCUGCCUCUCACAAGAAAAGACGACGUAGCCGGAAGGGUUCAGAAAGUGAAGAUAGAAGCAAGAGACCAAGACAUUCAUCUAGUCGCUUGAGAGGACAAGCUACAGCAGGGAGUGACAGUGAUGACAAUAGAGAAACAUUGAUGCCAAUCAUACCUACAUCACAAAGCCAGUCUCAACCGACCAAUCAAUCACUGCAGCUUCCAUCAUCAUCUUUAAUGACUGCAGCUCAGGCACAAUCUGGUCGUUCGCCUCGACCAUCUAAAUACAACUUCUUUGUUGAACUGACCCCAGAACUAGAUGCAUCACAACGCAUAGCUCUUUUGCAAAAUACCUUGCAAGACUUACGUAAAACAUAUGCAAAUGUGAAGCAAGAGUUGGCUUGUAUUGACCGCCGACGGAAGAAAUUAAGGAGACGUGAAAGAGAAGCACGUCUGGAGGCCCGGAAAAUGAUGCGAGAGGAGCGAAGGCAGGCAAGAGAGGAGGUGGUCAACUGUUGAUGAAACCUGGGGAUAUUGAUUCUGAGGCAGAAAAGAUCACUUUAUAUGGCGCAUAGCAUGUUAGAGAAAAAGCAUCAAAACAAGAGAUUUCCUGUGCCUAGCUGGCUUAAUAGAAAUGUUUCUCUCAUUUCUCUCCUGCAUCAUCAUUCAUUAAAUUUGUAAAUACUGUGAUGGGAGUUUCUUCGGUACCAUUUUGUCUGCUUUUGUUUUAUACUUCAUCUUAGUUGUGGUUUGGUGUUGUACGCCAAUACCUUUCAUUUUCCCAUAUCACUUGACAAAGUAUGUAGCUACUGUAAUAUGUAUUUGCAAUAUGAGUUCAGUUAAAAUUUUGUGAAUUUAUUAGACUUAAACUGAUUUUAUAACUGUCUGUGUUUGUACAGUUGGUAUCAGAUUAAUUUUAUUUAUUUGAGUCAAGUACGUAGAGGAUUUUCAAUUAGUCAUUUAAUGAUGUUGCUUUAUGUAGUGUGGCAACAUUCUGGAAGCAUGCAACUUAUGUUAAAUUGUAACUUUCUCAAUUCACUUACCAUAUUUCUUUGAAUUUUCUCCAAUAUGUAGUUUAUUUCAAAAACAAAGCUUUUCAUGAUGAAACUGUUAGCAAUGUCCACUUCAUUGCUAUAAAAGGGGGUCGUUCCCAAUGUUGAAUUGAUAAGAAACCAAGACUGAUUUGUUCUUCCUUUCAUGUACAUUUAAGGUGGAUCUCUUGUGGCACUCUGUUUAACAAAGUCAUAAGAUUUCAAUUUCUUUUAUUGUUUCAAUUCAAGUAAGCAUGCAUUUGGUUGUGACCUCUUUGUAACCAAUUGGAUGUUGUGCCAUUACCUUGUUUAAAGCGCACCAUUUGUUUUGUUUAGCUAAUGCCAUUUUGUACUUUUUUUCUUUCCACUCUGUAAUGUUUGUCACAUAGCACAAUCAUCUUUGUAACAUUUUUAUCUAUUCACUUAUGUAGUGUAAUCAAGUGGUUUUGUCAUUGUGAUUCCAUAGUGUUUAAAUAUGGUACGGUUUUACUUGUUUAUAUUAUUACCCCUUAUUUUGUGUUGAAAUGUAAAAAAUGUUACUGUCUUUUUGUGUUGUGAACUAUGGGCAGUGUAAAUAUUUUCUUAAUGAAUUGAUGACAUGAUCGAUAAUACUUACUAUGUUUUGUAGAUUAAUAGAUUUAAUUAGGACAUGUUUAGACCUGUUAUGUACAUGAACGAAUACAUAAAUAAGGGUUACAAGAUUUUAGUCGCCAAGCGAUUUUAGUGGUAUUUAAGUUUUAAAACUGAUUUCAAUAAAUGAUGCUGAAAAUA